UCCAGGGUAGCCUAGUGGACAUGGCAUCUGCCCGGUAUUCGGAACAUUGUGGGUUCGAUUCCCAUCCCUGGAC